AUAUUUACUUAUAUUUUCGUAUGAUUUAAUGUAUAUAUGGUAAUAAUGUGUAGUAUGAUAAUAUGAUUUAAUGUAAUAAGGUAAUAAUAGCAGUCAUGCCACGUGGCUUCUUUUCGAAGAGGGUUUCUAAGACGAUGUGGACGUUCCCUCGAGCCUCGAUUAGUCCAUUUUAUUAGUAUAGAUUUUUAGAGUGGCUGAUUACAAAUUUAGUUUUAAUGAAUUAUAAAUUAUAUAUAACUAUCAUUAUUAACAUUUUUUGCUUAUUAUAUUAAUUUU
rnacentral:lncRNA from 1 species